UUCGGUACAUCGGUGACAGGUGGUGCAUGGUUGUCGUCAGCUCGUGUCGUGAGAUGUUGGGUUAAGUCCGCAACGAGCGCAACCCCUAUUGUUAGUUGCCAUCAUUCAGUUGGGCACUCUAGCGAGACUGCCGGUAAUAAACCGGAGGAAGGUGGGGAUGACGUCAAAUCAUCAUGCCCCUUAUGACCUGGGCUACACACGUGCUACAAUGGUUGGUACAACGAGUUGCGAGUCGGUGACGGCGAGCUAAUCUCUUAAAGCCAAUCUCAGUUCGGAUUGUAGGCUGCAACUCGCCUACAUGAAGUCGGAAUCGCUAGUAAUCGCGGAUCAGCACGCCGCGGUGAAUACGUUCCCGGGCCUU
rnacentral:rRNA from 1 species